UACGUAGGGUCCGAGCGUUGUCCGGAAUUACUGGGCGUAAAGAGCUCGUAGGUGGUUUGUCGCGUUGUUCGUGAAAACUCACAGCUCAACUGUGGGCGUGCGGCGAUACGGGCAGACUGGAGUACUGCAGGGGAGACUGGAAUUCCUGGUGUGAGCGGUGGAAUGCGCAGAUAUCAGGAGGAACACCAGUGGCGAAGGCGAGUCUCUGGACAUUUCCUGACGCUGAGGCACGAAAGCCAGGGGAGCAAACGGG
rnacentral:rRNA from 1 species